rnacentral:rRNA from 1 species
UACGGGGGGGGCAAGCGUUGUUCGGAAUUACUGGGCGUAAAGGGCUCGUAGGCGGCCAACUAAGUCAUACGUGAAAUCCCUCAGCUUAACUGGGGAACUAGCGUGUGAUACUGGAUGGCUUGGAUUUGGGAGAGGGAUGCGGAAUUCCAGGUGUAGCGGUGAAAUGCGUAGAUAUCUGGAGGAACACCGGUGGCGAAGGCGGCAUCCUGGACCAAUAUUGACGCUGAGGAGCGAAAGCUAAGGGGAGCAAACGGG